UACGGGGGGGGCAAGCGUUGUUCGGAAUUACUGGGCGUAAAGGGCUCGUAGGCGGCCAAUUAAGUCAGACGUGAAAUCCCUCGGCUUAACCGGGGAACUGCGUCUGAUACUGGAUGGCUUGAAUCCGGGAGAGGGAUGCGGAAUUCCAGGUGUAGCGGUGAAAUGCGUAGAUAUCUGGAGGAACACCGGUGGCGAAGGCGGCAUCCUGGACCGGCAUUGACGCUGAGGAGCGAAAGCGUGGGGAGCAAACAGG
rnacentral:rRNA from 1 species